rnacentral:rRNA from 1 species
GCCUAAUACAUGCAAGUCGAGCGGACAGAUGGGAGCUUGCUCCCUGAUGUUAGCGGCGGACGGGUGAGUAACACGUGGGUAACCUGCCUGUAAGACUGGGAUAACUCCGGGAAACCGGGGCUAAUACCGGAUGCUUGUUUGAACCGCAUGGUUCAGACAUAAAAGGUGGCUUCGGCUACCACUUACAGAUGGACCCGCGGCGCAUUAGCUAGUUGGUGAGGUAACGGCUCACCAAGGCGACGAUGCGUAGCCGACCUGAGAGGGUGAUCGGCCACACUGGGACUGAGACACGGCCCAGACUCCUACGGGAGGCAGCAGUAGGGAAUCUUCCGCAAUGGACGAAAGUCUGACGGAGCAACGCCGCGUGAGUGAUGAAGGUUUUCGGAUCGUAAAGCUCUGUUGUUAGGGAAGAACAAGUGCCGUUCAAAUAGGGCGGCACCUUGACGGUACCUAACCAGAAAGCCACGGCUAACUACGUGCCAGCAGCCGCGGUAAUACGU